GUGAAAUUACCUAAAUAUAUUUGAAUAUACACUCAUUCCACAGGUUACUCACAGCCAUUAUUAUGGCGAAUAUAUCUCUAUAUAGAAAACACUUGACUCACUGGCCCCCCUUAUAUUGCUAGAUAAUGUGAUAAACGUCUGCAUUAAAUAGUUGUUGCCGUCAUUUUACGAUCCUUUUCAUGGUCUGCAGUACUAGUGUUUCAAUUUUGUUUGGGUUGAAGUUCAAGAUGCUUUGGCGGGGCGUUAUCUGCUGCGUUUUUAUUGCUUUUUCACUGAUACAUGUAUUGAGCCAUGUCAAUCGACUGCACAGUCGCAGACCCGAUUUCAGGUUUCUUUGGAGGACAAACUGAUAAUCGCCGUUGGUUCUCGCCCGAUUUUGUAUGACCAGUCCCUGUACACAUACAGGGACACCACAUUAAAAGAUCGGGCAUGGCAAGAUGUGUCGUUGCAGUGAGGAAUUUAGAGUGCAACUCAUUUUAUCAUGUAAAGGGAAAACACUCUAGCCACCUUCUUGAAGGCACCAGACCAGACGAGGACCACUGAGCAACUGGAGGAAAGUCUAGUACCGCUGCAACAAGGACACCACAUUAAAAGAUCGGGCAUGGCAAGAUGUGUCGUUGGAGGUGGGGGAAACAGCGGCUGAAUGUGUGAAGAGGUGGAGAUCCCUCAGGGACCGAUAUCGGAGGGAGAAGGUGAAGGAGAAGGAAGCCCAGAGGAGUGGGGCAGGGGCCGACAAGCAGCCUGUGUGGAGGUACAUGGUGGUGAUGGGCUUCCUAGCGCCAUUCCUGCAAAAUAGAGGGACCACCUCCAACCUCCCGCAUCGGAACCCAUCCCCGGUGUCGGUGAUGGUGGUGAUA